UGAUUGGACAUUAUUUAUCAAGUAACAACGAAACAUGCUACAGUAACUUUUCACCCUACUUUUCGCAAACUAAACGCGGCCUAAGACGAGACAAACUCUGAAAUUGCCCGCCCACGAUUAAAAGGGUGUCGAGUACGUGGUAUAUAUACACCUGCACCUGCUGUACAUGGAAAGAAACAUAUCUUGGCCGUGCAUGAAGUACUACCCCCCUCCCCGCAUCGUCUCCUCCCGGAGGCGACUCGGGCGGCGACCCAAGCUCCGCCGCCGCGCCUCCCCUCCCGGCCUCCUCUCCGUCUCGCCGCCUCUGGGUCCCCGUCUCUGGGUCAAUCGAGAGGGGGUUCCUCUCCGGGCCCCUUGACGCUGCGCUCAUGUCCGCGCGCCGCCACCUCCGGUCGCAUGGGAGGUAGUGUGCCCACGCUCCGCCGGAUCCUCUCCCAGGGCGCAUGUGGAGCAGGAGCUCGUGUCCAGCAGUCCAAAUCCAGAUCAAGUAGCUCGCGAGCUUUGCGUUCUUCCUCUUCCCUCCACCCUCGUCGUGGCCCGAGAGGUGAGGCGGGUGGGUCGUUGUCCGCCCGGCUGCGGCACGUCGUCCCUCGAGUCUGUGACGCCCUCCGCCGCAUGCACAAGUCGCCGUCGUCCGGAUUUUGCCUCCUACACAGUCGUCCCGUGUACGGGCCGCUGCCAUCCGGUUUGGAUCAGUAAGAUUAAUGGUGUUGUCCGUGUUCUCUCUGCAAUGGCCAUUAUAGCUCGUGUAUAAAGCUCUUGACAGGUUUGAGAAAGCACAUCACAAGCAAAUUUGAGGAGCUAAUAUUGUAAGUUGCCUCCCUGGUUGUGUAAACUCUUUUGUAUAAGCUUCCUGGAUCAUGCCGUCAUCGGUUGUUUGCAGCCAUAUGUUCGAGACAAACAACUCAGUUUGUUUAACUUCUUGCAUUUCCUUCAUGAAUAAAUUUUUCCAAGGUAGUAGGAGCUUACUGCAAACACAAUGUGUCUCCACCGUAGGCCUGAGUUAAAUAUAUGGUCUUGAUUCCUGAUACAGUAGAGAAAGGCUCAACCAUAUAUUUGUGAGAUACAAAAGGCACCAGACCAACCACAUAUAUAUACAGUCUUAGGUUAGGUGCUCUGCAGUUUUAGUCUUUCAGUUGCCUCCACUCUGAUAUGAUUGUUUUGUGGGAACAAAAUGAGCCUAUAAUGGGUGCAUAAUUUUUUUUAAGAAUCCAACCAAAGUGUGUUGAGGAGUACGUGAGCACCACACUGUCUUUCUGCCAGCUUAUAUUUUGAUAAUAUACUGAUGUAUGUACUCUUUAUCUUGAAAUAUUAAAGUUAUGUUCAAGGAGAACACUAGGGCUAAUUAUAAAGCCUUCCUGCUCUGAUCAACAUCAUUUUUUUUGCUCACAAAAUGGGAGACGUUUGUGAAAUGAAAUCUCCUGCACCCUGUCCUGCUAGGUUCAUUCUGCAGAGUAAUGUUGUUUUAGGUUAUCAAGUAUGGGAGAUGCUAGCUAGGAAGCCAUUUGGUGAUGUGUCAAAUGUCCACAAACAAGGUAUUGCUGAAUCUCAUCAUCGUGUGUGCAAACUCCAGGUUCAUGUGUGCAGUUAGUUCAGGAAGCAUCCAUGGCAGAAAUUGUAUUACACAAAUCCAAACUAAAUAACCAGUGAUUUGUUGGUUUUCUUUGCAGAAGUUAAGGCAAUACCAGGAGAAACACCUAUCUCCUCAAUAUGUCCAUUCAUUGUUUCAAUUAACUGAUACUUGAUCAAAUUGGAGCAACUGGAUUAGAGUAGGCAUAUAGGAGAUUGAUCAGCUAGCAAGGAAUACCCUAUCUGAUCUACUAUUCAAGGUACGUUGUCCUGCUUAUGGUUUUGAAUAAUUUGUCUAAUCCUUUUCUAAUGUACAGUUAUUUUUCUAUGCUCUAAUCCACUCUGGCCAACCAUGCUCUGGCUGCAUAACAUUCCUACUGGUAUAACCUCUAUCUGUAGAAAUAAAAUUUGAAAAAUGAUUCUAUUCUCUUGUGACAGCUAAAGUUGUGUGAAUGUUGAAGCACUGUACUCUACUCCUGUCAGGAGAAUGUUGAGUGGAUGCAAAUCAGGCCCAACUGCUUUUAACAUUUGUGACUUUUUACUUUUCAAGGAGAACAUCGAAGCACCCUUUUGAACUUUGUAUGUAUGUGAUUGCAAGCUUUCUUUUGUUUGAAAAGCAUAUGGAACCAGAAAGAAUAUAAGAAUAGAUGUAUCAUCUGCUAGAGUGACACAUAUUUUUUUUUCAUGAGUUGUAUAAACUGUCCCUGAAAUAAUAUCACGUUCAUUCGCCACUGGACUCCGCAGAUAUGCUGCUUCUUCUACAAGAAUAUCACGUUCGGUGUGACCCUGUUCCUGUACAAGGUGUACACAUUGUUUUCAGGCUAGCCCUUUCUACAACGACUGGGCAAUGGUGAGCUACAAUGUCCUCUUCACCUUGCUCCCUGUGAUCUCCAUGGGCGUCUUCAACCAAGAUGUUUCUUCUCACUUCUGUCUCAAAGUUCCCGAUGCUGUACCACGAGAGCCCCCAGAACCUGCUGUUCCAGUGGCGGCGGAUCAUCGGGUGGAUGGCUUACGGCGUUGCCAGUGCCGUGGUCAUCUUCUUCCUCACCACAGCGUCGCUGCAGCACCACGCGUUCCGGCAGGGUGGGCAGGUGGUCGACCAGGUGACGGUGAGGCGACGAAGCUAUGCUCGGCCAAGCUGCAUGUUAAUCAAGUAACAAUCAACAAGAGGUCUUCAGACGAGGAGGCAACAUCGUAGUGGCUUCUUGCCUGUGAUAAGCCAAUUACCAUUUUCAUUUCAAUACCAAAGUUCUUUGAGAUGAUGGUGUAUUGCUGUAUAUCCCUAGCAGAAUGGCAUAUGUGAGAUCCAGGAUGUCUGUUCUAGGAGAUUUGCCCGAGGAUAUCAUAUGCCAGUGCUCAGUUAUUUUUGUGAGCAACCAUUUCCCAAUAUCGAGGUUAUGUUUGGUAUUGUCAGGAACACAAUUAGGAUGACUCGAUGGUUACAGAUAGGAUAAGAUGCAGUCUUGUGCAAUUUGAUUCCAUGAGCUAGCAGAUCAUGGUUUGUUGGGCAUUCUUUGUUCACUUGAUUUCCAGAACAUCUAAUCUAGCUUUGAUUUUUGACAUGGUACCAAUAAUAUUUUUCAAUGUAAAACCAUUGAUGGAAGAUAUUAUUUGUCUAUGAUAUUUUUAGUAGUAGUUCAA